rnacentral:rRNA from 1 species
GAUGAACGCUGGCGGCAUGCCUAAUACAUGCAAGUCAAACGGGUGUAGCAAUACACAAGUGGCGAACGGGUGAGUAACACAUAGACAACUUGUCCUUAAGACGAGGAUAACAGUUGGAAACGACUGCUAAAACUGGAUAGGAUAAAGUAACGCAUGUUAAGAUAUUUAAAGAUGCUUUUGGGCACUACUUAAGGAGGGGUCUAUGUCGCAUUAGCUAGUUGGUGAGGUAAGGGCUCACCAAGGCGACGAUGCGUAGCUGUGCUGAGAGGCAAAACAGCCACACUGGGACUGAGACACGGCCCAGACUCCUACGGGGGGCAGCAGUUGGGAAUCUUGCGCAAUGGGGGCAACCCUGACGCAGCGACGCCGCGUGCGGGAUGACGAUCUUCGGAUUGUAAACCGCUUUUCCCAGGGACGAUAAUGACGGUACCUGGGGAAUCAGCCCCGGCUAACUCCGUGCCAGCAGCCGCGGUAAGCUGUAGUCGU